rnacentral:rRNA from 1 species
AUUGAACGCUGGCGGCAGGCCUAACACAUGCAAGUCGUGCGGAUGAAGGGAGCUUGCUCCUGGAUUCAGCGGCGGACGGGUGAGUAAUGCCUAGGAAUCUGCCUGGUAGUGGGGGAUAACGUCCGGAAACGGGCGCUAAUACCGCCUACGUCCUGAGGGAGAAAGUGGGGGAUCUUCGGACCUCACGCUAUCAGAUGAGCCUAGGUCGGAUUAGCUAGUUGGUGGGGUAAAGGCCUACCAAGGCGACGAUCCGUAACUGGUCUGAGAGGAUGAUCAGUCACACUGGAACUGAGACACGGUCCAGACUCCUACGGGAGGCAGCAGUGGGGAAUAUUGGACAAUGGGCGAAAGCCUGAUCCAGCCAUGCCGCGUGUGUGAAGAAGGUCUUCGGAUUGUAAAGCACUUUAAGUUGGGAGGAAGGGCAGUAAGUUAAUACCUUGCUGUUUUGACGUUACCAACAGAAUAAGCACCGGCUAACCUCGUG